rnacentral:rRNA from 1 species
AUGGCGGCGGUUCGGUGCGCGGCGAGGAAGCUCGGUUGCUCCCUGCUCCAGCGAACGCAGGCGGCGGUCAUGCAGGAGGGACGCCUGCUCGCGCCAAGCAGGCUCAUGCGCUCCCGCCAGCUCUCCAGCGAGGCCUCCAGCGAGGAAAAGAAAGUGGAGCUCCGCAAACUGGUAUCUAAGGCGAUGCAAAAGAGAGUGGAGCUGCUUGGUGAGCCUGAAAUGCGGCUACUACUCCAGAGAAUUUCUCUACCAAAAGGCACUCCAAAACCACAUGCCACUCCCUGGACCUGGGGGCGGUUCGCUACAAGGUUAAAGUGUUAUAUGGAGGCAGCUGCCAAUCUGACAGUCUUCCUUGCGGUUACUGCUUAUGUAGUUUGUGUCAAGGGCGACAGAGGGGUACAAGAACAAGUCCAGGGCGUUAACGAGGAAAACCAGUGA